rnacentral:misc_RNA from 1 species
UCUCGGCUUAUCACCGGCAGUCCCCUUAGAGUGCCCAACUUAAUGAUGGCAACUAAGGGCAGGGGUUGCGCUCGUUGCGGCACUUAAGCCAACACCUCACGGCACGAGCUGACGACAGCCAUGCAGCACCUGUGCAGGGCCCCGAAGGACACGGGCUUCCACCCGCUUUACCCUGCAUGUCAAGCCCAGGUAAGGUUCUUCGCGUUGCAUCGAAUUAAGCCACAUGCUCCGCCGCUUGUGCGGGUCCCCGUCAAUUCCUUUGAGUUUUAGCCUUGCGGCCGUACUCCCCAGGCGGAGCGCUUAAUGCGUUAGCUGCGGCACAGAGAGGGUUGAAGACCUCCCCACACCUAGCACUCAACGUUUACGGCUGGGACUAC